rnacentral:rRNA from 1 species
GAUGAACGCUGGCGGCGUGCCUAAUACAUGCAAGUCGAGCGAACGGACGAGAAGCUUGCUUCUCUGAUGUUAGCGGCGGAAGGGUGAGUAACACGUGGAUAACCUACCUAUAAGACUGGGAUAACUUCGGGAAACCGGAGCUAAUACCGGAUAAUAUUUUGAACCGCAUGGUUCAAAAGUGAAAGACGGUCUUGCUGUCACUUAUAGAUGGAUCCGCGCUGCAUUAGCUAGUUGGUAAGGUAACGGCUUACCAAGGCAACGAUGCAUAGCCGACCUGAGAGGGUGAUCGGCCACACUGGAACUGAGACACGGUCCAGACUCCUACGGGAGGCAGCAGUAGGGAAUCUUCCGCAAUGGGCGAAAGCCUGACGGAGCAACGCCGCGUGAGUGAUGAAGGUCUUCGGAUCGUAAAACUCUGUUAUUAGGGAAGAACAUAUGUGUAAGUAACUGUGCACAUCUUGACGGUACCUAAUCAGAAAGCCACGGCUAACCACGUG